GCGGGCGUAGUUCAGUAGCCAGAAUGUCUCGUUGCCAACGAGAAGGUCGUGGGUGCAAGUCCCAUCGCCCGCU
rnacentral:tRNA from 4 species